rnacentral:rRNA from 1 species
CGGGGGCACGGGGGGCCUACGGGAGGCAGCAGUGGGGAAUUUUGGACAAUGGGGGCAACCCUGAUCCAGCCAUUCCGCGUGAGUGAAGAAGGCCUUCGGGUUGUAAAGCUCUUUCAGCGGGAACGAAACGGUCGAUCCUAAUAAGGUCGGCUAAUGACGGUACCUGCAGAAGAAGCACCGGCUAACUACGUGC